rnacentral:rRNA from 1 species
CUAACUGGAGGACCGAACCGACUAAUGUUGAAAAAUUAGCGGAUGACUUGUGGCUGGGGGUGAAAGGCCAAUCAAACCGGGAGAUAGCUGGUUCUCCCCGAAAGCUAUUUAGGUAGCGCCUCGUGAACUCAUCUUCGGGGGUAGAGCACUGUUUCGGCUAGGGGGUCAUCCCGACUUACCAACCCGAUGCAAACUACGAAUACCGAAGAAUGUUAUCACGGGAGACACACGGCGGGUGCUAACGUCCGUCGUGAAGAGGGAAACAACCCAGACCGCCAGCUAAGGUCCCAAAGUCAUGGUUAAGUGGGAAACGAUGUGGGAAGGCACAGACAGCCAGGAUGUUGGCUUAGAAGCAGCCAUCAUUUAAAGAAAGCGUAAUAGCUCACUGGUCGAGUCGGCCUGCGCGGAAGAUGUAACGGGGCUAAACCAUGCACCGAAGCUGCGGCAGCGACACUAUGUGUUGUUGGGUAGGGGAGCGUUCUGUAAGCCUGCGAAGGUGUGCUGUGAGGCAUGCUGGAGGUAUCAGAAGUGCGAAUGCUGACAUAAGUAACGAUAAAGCGGGUGAAAAGCCCGCUCGCCGGAAGACCAAGGGUUCCUGUCCAACGUUAAUCGGGGCAGGGUGAGUCGACCCCUAAGGC